rnacentral:rRNA from 1 species
CCUACGGGGGGCUGCAGUGGGGAAUAUUGCGCAAUGGGCGAAAGCCUGACGCAGCGACGCCGCGUGAGGGAUGAAGGUCUUCGGAUCGUAAACCUCUGUCAGCAGGGAAGAACGGUCACUGUGUUAAUCAUCCGUGAAUUGACGGUACCUGCAAAGGAAGUACCGGCUAACUCCGUGCCAGCAGCCGCGGUAAUACGGAGGGUGCGAGCGUUAAUCGGAAUUACUGGGCGUAAAGCGCUCGUAGGCGGUAUGUCAAGUCACGGGUGAAAUCCCCGCGCUCAACGUGGGAACUGCCUUUGAAACUGGCAAACUGGAGUGUGUGAGAGGAGAGUGGAAUUCCAGGUGUAGGAGUGAAAUCCGUAGAUAUCUGGAGGAACAUCAGUGGCGAAGGCGACUAUCUGGGACAUAACUGACGCUGAGGAGCGAAAGCGUGGGUAGCAAACAGGAUUAGAUACCCUGGUAGUC